rnacentral:hammerhead_ribozyme from 1 species
AGCCAACCAACGAGUCCCAAACAGGACAAAAUGCGCAUCCUGGAU